GAUGACUUAAAGGUAGGCAGACAAUGUAAUAGAGCAGCAGGAAUUGCUAGCAGAAUGCUUGGUUGUAUAGGGAGAGGUAUUAGCAGUAGAAAGAGGGAAGUGCUCAUGCCAUUGUACAGAACACUGGUGAGACCUCACUUGGAGUAUUGUACACAGUACUGGAGACCGUAUCUUCAGAAGGAUAUUGAUACCUUAGAGAGGGAUCAGAGAAGGGCUACUAAACUGGUUCAUGGAUUGCGGGAUAAAACUUACCAGGAAAGGUUAAAGGAUCUUAACAUGUAUAGCUUGGAGGAAAGACGAG